UGAAAAAUCCUUCGACGUGGAAGAUACCAAUGUGCAAGCAGAGAAAAAUGUCGAAUCAAAUGAGAACUUGAAGGAGAAUAUUCCAAGAGCAGCAGAUGAAGGUGAAACAUUUCCGAAGGAAGCUGAAGCAGAAAGCAAGGAUGAGAUUAAAAAUGACGAUAUUGUUCAUCCAGAUAUUGAUGGAGACGGAGAUGAAAUCGAUAGUUCUGAAGAGAACUUGGAUAAGCAGAUUCCAGCAGGGGAAUGUGAAACAAGCUUGAAAGCAGCCGAAGCAGAAUAUAAGGAGCAGGUCAUUCAUGCUGAUAUUGCUCCUGAAGAGAAGGGUCUAGCAACCAUCUUAACAGAUGAAACACCCAAGGACUGUGUCGAAUCAAAAGAGAAAGUGGAGGAGCAGAUUACAACAGCAGAUGAAGGCGAAAAAAGUACUUAUAUUUCUCCUGAAGAUAGUGAAGUACAAGAAGAUGAAAAUUUUAUUACACUAGAGAAUUUGGAGAAGCCGAUUCGAACAACAUCAGGUGAACGAGAAACAGGCUUGGGAGAAGCUGAAGCAGAAAUUAAGGAGCAGGUCAAAAGUAUUGAUAUUGUUCCUGAAGAGAUGGCAACCAUCUCAACAACUGAGACACCCUUGGACGUUGAAGAUAUCGGUGUACAAGCAGAGGAAACUCUCAAAUCAAAAGAGAACGUGGAGGAGCAUAUUCCAACAGCAGCAGAUGAAGGUGAAAAAUUCUUGAAGGAAGCCGAAGCAGAAAACAAGGCGCAGAUUGACGAGGAAACUUUGAAUUCACAAGAAUCCUCAGACAAAGAAAAAGAAGAAGUGACUGAAAUUACAAACACAAAAGAUGACACUGAAAGGGAGGAGGUAAGAUCGGAAUAAACUUUUUUAUGAGUUUUUCUCUCUGGCUUAUCAUCUGUUUAGUUAUUGACCGAUAUGCAGGAUUCAUAACGUAUCACUGAUAAAUAUGAAUAUGCGAAAAUACGAUGGUUUAUUUUUAAUAUGGUACAAACGAUUUCUAAAAUCUAUUUUCUCCUUAUAUAUUAUGACGGUUUCAUCUCUAAUGUAGGUGCUUGAGACUACCAGCACGGAGCAAGAAACUGGAGAACAUGUGGUACACGAAAUUCAUAGAGUCCCAGAACCUCCUCGAGAUUCCAUUGAUAAAGAAACAAAUGAAGACAACUCCGCGGAAUAUCAGGUUUACCUGGACACAAACAUAAAGCCUACAAGUGCUGUCCUUUUUCUUCGUCUCCCAGUACAUAACCUAUGUUUUUUUUCCCUUCCAAUGUUAGGCAUGUACUGAGGUAGCUGAUGUGAGUACAAGUGCAGAGGAAAAGAACUUAGAGGAACAUGCCAUUCGGGAACUCUCUUCUCCACUGGUAGUAGAAGAAGCAACUAAAGAAAUCCCGGAAGUUGAAAGGCAGGACAAAAACAUUGAUACUGCACCUGAAGAAAAGGGUCAAGCAACCAUCUCAGCAGAUGAAAUGGCCUCGGAAGUUGAGGAUAUUGAUGUACAAUUAAAGGAGAAUCUUGAGUCAGAAGAGAACUUGGAGGAACAAUUUCUGAUAGCAGCAGAUGAAGGUGAAAUAAUCUCCAAAGAUGCCAAAGCAGAAAACCAGGAGCAGAUAAAAAAUGUUGAUAUUGCUCAUGAAGAUGUUGAUGCACAAGCGGAGAAAACUGUCAACUCAGAAGAGAACAUAGAUAAGCAGAUUCCUUCAAUAGCACAUGAAGGUGAAACAAGCUUGAAAGAAACCGCUGUCUUGAUUCUAAAAGAAGAGGUUAGCAUGAUAUAAGAAUUUUCGAUUUUUUUCAUUAUAGUCUAUUGCAUUACAUAUUCCAAUCAAGAAUUGAUAUCCCCUGCAGAAAAAGGAAGAAGAUACAGAAUGUAACGAGCCUUCUGAGGUAGCGAGUAUGACACAUGAAACACGAACUGAAACCACAGAGGACAUAACAGAGCCAAAUAAGGACCUCAAUGCUCCAAUUUCAGGAGAAAGCAACAAAACAUUUGUUGAAAAUAUUUCCACUCUCGCUGAGGUAUCUGAGAUGGAGACUGAGAAAAAUGGCCUGGCUGUCAGCAAUUCUGACUCUGCGUCGGGUGAAGUGAGUCAUGUAACAGGUUUGAAGGAAGCUGAAACAGAAAAGGAGGAGCAGAAAGAAAACAUGGAUACUGCUCCGGAAGAGAAGGGUCAAGCAACCAUCGUAAAAGAUGAAAUGGCCUCGGAAGUUGAAGAUAUUGGUGUACAAGCAGAGGAAAAUUGUGAAUCAAAAGAGAAGUUGGAGGAGCAUAUUCCAACAGCAGCAGACAAGGUUGAAACAUUCUCAAAGGAAGCCGAGGCAGAAAAUGAGGAGCAGAUAAACAAUGGUGAUGUUGCUGCUGAAGAGAAGGUUUCGGAAACCAUCUUAACAAAUGAAAGAACCUUCGACGUGGAAGAUACCAAUGUGCAAGCAGAGAAAAAUGUCGAAUCAAAUGAGAACUUGGAGGAGACUAUUCCAACAGCAGCGGAUGAAGGCGAAACAUCCCUGCAGGAAGCUGAAGCAGAAGGCAAGGAUGAGAUUAAAAGUACUGAUAUUGCUCAUGCAGAUACUGAUGGACAUGGAGAUGAAAUUGAUAAUUCUGAAGAGAACUUGGAUAAGCAGAUCCCAGCAGGCGAACGUGAAAUAAGCUUGAAAGCAGCCGAAGCAGAAUAUAAGGAGCAGGUCAAACAUGCUGAUAUUGUUCCUGAAGAGGAGGGUCUAGCAACCGUCUUAACAGACGAAACACCCUUAGAUGUCGAGGAUAUUGAGGUAAAAACUGACUGUGUCGAAUCAAAAGAGAAUGUGGAGGAGCAGAUUCCAACAACAGUAGAUGAAGGCGGAAAAAGUACUUAUAUUUCUCCUGAAGAUAUUGAAGUACAAGCAGAUGAAAAUUUUAUUACACUAGAGAAUUUGGAGAAGCCAAUUCUAACAACAUCAGGUGAACGAGAAACAGGCUUGGGAGAAGCUGAAGCAGAAAUUAAGGAGCAGGUCAAAAGUAUUGAUAUUGUUCCUGAAGAGAUGGCAACCAUCUCAACAGCUGAGACACCCUCGGAUGUUGAAGUUAUCGGUGUACAAGCAGAGGAAAGCCUCAAAUCAAAAGAGAGCGUGGAGGAGCAGAUUCCAACAGCAGCGGAUGAAGAUGAAAGAUUCUUGAAGGAAUCCAAAGCAGAAAACAAGGAGCUGAUCGACGAGGAAAAUUUGAAUUUACAAGAACAAGUGACUGAAAUUACAAACACAAUAGAAGAUGACACUGAAAGGGAGGAGGUAAGAUCGGAAUAAAUUUUUUUAUGAGUUUUUCUCUCUGGCUUACCAUCUGACAAGUAGUCUCCCUACACGGUUUUGUUAUUGAUUAAGAUGCAAGAUUCAUAACGUAUCACAGAUGCAUAUGAACAUGCGAAGAAACUAUGUUUUAUUUUAAAAUGGUAAGAACGAUUUCUAAAAUCUAUUUUCUCCUUAUAUAUUAUGAUGGUUUCAUCUCUAAUGUAGGUGCUUGAGACUACCAGUACGGAGCAAGAAACUGGAGAACAUGUGGUACACGAAAUUCAUACUGUCCCAGAACCCCCUCGAGACUCCAUUGAUAAAGAAACAAAUGAAGACAACUCCGCGGAAUAUCAGGUUUACCUGGACACAAACAUAAGGCCUACAAAAGUGUGAUCCUUUUUCUUCGUCUCCCAGUACAUAACCUUUGUUUUUUUUUUCCCUUCCAAUGUUAGGCAUGUACUGAGGCAGCUGAUUUGAGUACAAGUGCAGAGGAAAAGAACUUAGAGGAACAUGCCAUUCGGGAACUCUCUUCUCCACUGGUAGUAGAAGAAGCAACUAAAGAAAUCCCGAAAGAAGAAGAAACCUACCCCACGCUUCUAGAAGAAGAGGUAAUCUAGCAUUCAAUAUCAAAUUUUUAGAUUAAAAUACACUAUAGUAUUAUCUUGCAAAUUGAAAUUUACAACUCAUAUCGGCAACAGGAAAAGGAAGGGCAUGCAACAUGUAACAAGCCCAAUGAGGAAUAUGAGGCAGAGAUUGAGAAAAAUAUUCAGGAGAAAGAUGGCAACACAGUUAGCAAUUCUGAAUCUCUGUCUGGAGAACUGAGUCAUGUAACAGCCUUGAAGGAAUGUGAAACAGAGAUUGAAAGGCAGGACAGGAACAUUGAUACUGCUCCUGAAGAGAAGGGUCAAGCAACCAUCUCAGCAGAUGAAACAGCCUCGGAAGUUGAGGAUAUUGAUGUACAAUUAAAGGAGAACCUUGAGUCUAAAGAGAACUUGGAGGAACAAUUUCCAACAGCAGCAGAUGAAGGUGAAAUAAUCUUGAAAGAAGCUGAAGCAAAAAACCAGGAGCAGAUAAAAAAUGUUGAAAUUGCUCAUGAAGAUGUUGAUGCACAAGCGGAGAAAACUGUCAACUCAGAAGAGAACAUAGAUAAGCAGAUUCUGCCAAUAGCACAUGAAGGUGAAACAAGCUUGAAAGAAACCGCUGUCUUGAUUCUAAAAGAAGAGGUUAGCAUGAUAUCAGAAUUUUCGAUUUUUACAUUAUAGUUCAUUGUAUUACAUAUUCCAAUCAAGAAUUGGUAUCCCCCUGCAGAUAAAGGAAGAAGAUACAGAAUGUAAUGAGCCUGCUGAGGUAGCGAGUAUGACACAUGAAACACGAUCUGAAACCACAGAGGACAUAACAGAGCCAAAUAAGGACGUCAAUGCUCCAAUUUCAGGAGAAAGCAACAAAACAUUUGUUGAAAAUAUUUCCACACUCGCUGAGGUAUCUGAGACGGGGACUGAGAAAAAUGUUCAGGAGAAAAAUGGCCCGGCUGUCAGCAAUUCUGACUCUGCGUCAGGUGAAGUGAGUCAUGUAACAGGUUUGAAGGAAGCUGAAACAGAAAAGGAGGAGCAGAAAGAAAACAUUGAUACUGCUCCGGAAGAGAAGGUUCAAGCUACCGUCUUAAAAGAUGAAAUGGCCUCGGAAGUUGAAGAUAUUGGUGUACAAGCAGAGGAAAAUUGUGAAUCAAAAGAGAAGUUGGAGGAGCAUAUUCCAACAGCAGCAGACAAAGUUGAAACAUUCUCAAAGGAAGCCGAGGCAGAAAAUGAGGAGCAGAUAAACAAUGGUGAUGUUGCUGCUGAAGAGAAGGUUUCGGAAACCAUCUUAACAAAUGAAAGAACCUUCGACGUGGAAGAUACCAAUGUGCAAGCAGAGAAAAAUGUCGAAUCAAAUGAGAACUUGGAGGAGACUAUUCCAACAGCAGCGGAUGAAGGCGAAACAUCCCUGCAGGAAGCUGAAGCAGAAAGCAAGGAUGAGAUUAAAAGUACUGAAGCAGAAAGCAAGGAUGAGAUUAAAAGUGCUGAUAUUGUUCCUGAGGAGAAGGGUCUAGCAACCGUCUUAACAGAUGAAACACCCUUAGAUGUCAAGGAUAUUGAGGUAAAAACUGAGGACUGUGUUGAAUCAAAAGAGAAUGUGGAGGAGCAGAUUCCAACAACAGCAGAUGAAGGCGAAAAAAGUACUUAUAUUUCUCCUGAAGAUAUUGAAGUACAAGCAGAUGAAUUUAUUACACUAGAGAAUUUGGAGAAGCCGAUUCUAACAUCAGGUGAACGAGAAACAGGCUUGGGAGAAGCUGAAGCAGAAAUUAAGGAGCAGGUCAAAAGUAUUGAUAUUGUUCCCGAAGAGAUGGCAACCAUCUCAACAGCUGAGACACCCUCGGAUGUUGAAGUUAUCGGUGUACAAGCAGAGGAAAGCCUCAAAUCAAAAGAGAACAUGGAGGAGCAGAUUCCAACAGCACCAGAUGAAGGUGGAAAAUUCUUGAAGGAAUCCAAAGCAGAAAACAAGGAGCUGAUCGACGAGGAAAAUUUGAAUUCACAAGAAUCUUCAGACAAAGGAAAACAAGAAGUGACUGAAACUACUAACACACUAGAAGAUGACACAGCAAGGGAGGAGGUAAGAUUGGAAUAAACCUUUUCAUGAAUUUUUCUUUCGGUCUUAUCAUCCGACAAGUAGUUUCCUUAACGCGGUUUAGUUAUUGACCGAAAUGCAGGAUUCAUAACGUAUCACUGAUAGAUAUGAACAUGCGAAAAAACAAAGUUUUAUUUAAAAUGGCACAAACGAUUUGUAAAAUCUAUUCUCUCCUACAUAUUACGACGGUUUCAUCUUUAAUGUAGGUGCUUGAGAAUACCUGCACGGAGCAAGAAACUGGAGAACAUGUGGUACACGAAAUUCAUACUGUCGUGGAAACCCCUCGAGAUUCCGUUGAUAAAGAAACAAAUGAAGAGAACUCCGCGGGAUAUCAGGUUUACCUGGACACAAACAUAAAGCCUACAAAAGAGUUAUCCUUUUUCUUCGUCUCCCAGUGCAUAACCUUUGUGUUUUUUUCCUUCCAAUGUUAGGCAUGUACUGAUGCAGCUGAUUUGAGUACAACUGCAGAGGAAAAGAACUUAGAGGAACAUGACAUUCAGGAACUCUCUUCUCCGCUGGUGGUAGAAGAAGAAACUAAUGAAAUCCCGAAGGAAGAAGAAACCUACGCCACGCUUCUAGAAGAAGAGGUAAUCUAGCAUAGGAUAUCAAAAUUUUAGAUUAUUACAUUAUAGUAUUAUCUUGCAAAUUCAAAUUUACAGUUCAUAUCCACAACAGAAAAAGGAAGGGCAUGCAACAUGUAACGAGCCGACUGAGAAAUAUGAGGCAGAGAUUGAGAAAAAUAUUCAGGAGAAAGAUGGCAACACAGUUAGCAAUUCUGAAUCUCUGUCUGGAGAACUGAGUCAUGUAACAGCCUCGCAUGAAUCUGAAACAGAGAUUGAAAGGCAGGACAAAAAUAUUGAUACUGCUGCUGAAGAGAAGGGUCAAGCAACCAUCUUGAAAGAAAACAUUGAUACUGCUCCGGAAGAGAAGGGUCAAGCAACCAUCUUGAAAGGUAAAGCGGCCUCGGAAGUUGAAGAUAUUGGUGUACAAGCAGAGGAAAAAUGUGAAUCAAAAGAGAAUUUGGAGGAGCAUAUUCCAACAGCAGCAGACAAGGUUGAAACAUUCUCGAAGGAAGCUGAGGCAGAAAAUGAGGAGCAGAUAAACAAUAGUGAUGUUGCUGCUGAAGAGAAGGUUCUGGAAACCAUCUUAACAAAUGAAAAAUCCUUCGACGUGGAAGAUACCAAUGUGCAAGCAGAGAAAAAUGUCGAAUCAAAUGAGGACUUGGAGGAGAAUGUUCCAACAGCAGCAGAUGAAGGUGAAACAUUCCCGAAGGAAGCUGAAGCAGAAAGCAAGGAUGAUAUUAAAAAUGCUGAUAUUCCUCAUGCAGAUAUUGAUGGACACGGAGAUGAAAUCGAUAGUUCUGAAGAGAACUUGGAUAAGCAGAUUCCAGCAGGGGAAUGUGAAACAAGCUUGAAAGCAGCCGAAGCAGA
rnacentral:lncRNA from 1 species